AUCAUCACAUGAUUGGCUUUAGGGCACAUUUCCAACAAAGAAAGCUCAGCUAAUAAAACCUGGAGGGUGAAGACAAGACAAUGGUGAGUGGCCCUGUAAAUAAAGUUUUAAUAAAAACCAUGUAAAACAUUAUAACCCCUUACUACAACACCUGUAUAGUUUCCAGAAAAUUCAUAAUAUACCACAACACAGCAUUUCAUCAAUAAUAUCAAAUAAUCAUGCGAUUAAUAACUCAUACUAGUACGCAAGUCGGAGUCACCUAGGGUGACAUGUACAACUUACCCAUAUCUCAUCACAUAUGCCAGUUCAUAACAUAUUCAUUACAUAUGCUGGCUCGUCACGUACUCAUCACAUA
rnacentral:lncRNA from 1 species